AACGAACGCUGGCGGCAGGCCUAACACAUGCAAGUCGAGCGGACCCUUCGGGGUUAGCGGCGGACGGGUGAGUAACGCGUGGGAAUAUGCCCUUCUCUACGGAAUAGUCCUGGGAAACUGGGGGUAAUACCGUAUACGCCCUUUGUGGGAAAGAUUUAUCGGGGAAGGAUUAGCCCGCGUUGGAUUAGGUAGUUGGUGGGGUAAUGGCCUACCAAGCCGACGAUCCAUAGCUGGUUUGAGAGGAUGAUCAGCCACACUGGGACUGAGCAACGGCCCAGACUCCUACGGGAGGCAGCAGUGGGGAAUCUUAGACAAUGGGGGCAACCCUGAUCGAGCCAGGCCGCGUGAGUGAUGAAGGCCUUAGGGUUGUAAAGCUCUUUAAGCUGGGAAGAUAAUGACGGUACCAGCAGAAGAAGCCCCGGCUAACUCCGUG
rnacentral:rRNA from 1 species